UGGGGAAUUUUCCGCAAUGGGCGAAAGCCUGACGGAGCAAGACCGCGUGAGGGAGGAAGGCCUUUGGGUUGUAAACCUCUUUUGUCAGGGAAGAAAAAAAUGACGGUACCUGACGAAUCAGCCUCGGCUAACUCCGUGCCAGCAGCCGCGGUAAUACGGAGGAGGCAAGCGUUAUCCGGAAUCAUUGGGCGUAAAGCGUCCGUAGGUGGCCAAGUAAGUCUGCUGUCAAAGACCACAGCUUAACUGUGGAAAGGCAGUGGAAACUGCGGGGCUAGAGUGCGGUAGGGGUAGAGGGAAUUCCAGGUGUAGCGGUGAAAUGCGUAGAGCUCUGGAAGAACACCGGUGGCGAAAGCGCUCUACUGGGCCGUAACUGACACUGAGGGACGAAAGCUAGGGGAGCGAAAG
rnacentral:rRNA from 1 species